AGCUGCUUGGCGCAGCGGAAGCGCGCCGGGCUCAUAAAAUGGUCUACCAUUAGUAACCCGGAGGUCCUUGGAUCGAAACCAAGAGCAGCUA